rnacentral:rRNA from 1 species
GAUGAACGCUGGCGGCGUGCCUAAUACAUGCAAGUCGAGCGAACAGACGAGGAGCUUGCUCCUCUGACGUUAGCGGCGGACGGGUGAGUAACACGUGGAUAACCUACCUAUAAGACUGGGAUAACUUCGGGAAACCGGAGCUAAUACCGUAUAAUAUAUUGAACCGCAUUGGUCAAUAGUGAAAGACGGUUUUGCUGUCACUUAUAGAUGGAUCCGCGCCGCAUUAGCUAGUUGGUAAGGUAACGGCUUACCAAGGCGACGAUGCGUAGCCGACCUGAGAGGGUGAUCGGCCACACUGGAACUGAGACACGGUCCAGACUCCUACGGGAGGCAGCAGUAGGGAAUCUUCCGCAAUGGGCGAAAGCCUGACGGAGCAACGCCGCGUGAGUGAUGAAGGUCUUCGGAUCGUAAAACUCUGUUAUUAGGGAAGAACAAAUGUGUAAGUAACUAUGCACGUCUUGACGGUACCUAAUCAGAAAGCCACGGCUAACUACGUG